CAGUCGCCGCGGUAAUACGAAGGGUGCAAGCGUUACUCGGAAUUACUGGGCGUAAAGCGUGCGUAGGUGGUGGUUUAAGUCCGUUGUGAAAGCCCUGGGCUCAACCUGGGAAUGGCAGUGGAUACUGGCAAACUAGAGUGUGUCAGAGGAUGGUGGAAUUCCCGGUGUAGCGGUGAAAUGCGUAGAGAUCGGGAGGAACAUCAGUGGCGAAGGCGGCCAUCUGGGACAACACUGACGCUGAGGCACGAAAGCGUGGGUAGCAAACAGGAUUAGAUACCCCCGUAGUCCCUGUCUCUUAUAC
rnacentral:rRNA from 1 species